AGCAGCCGCGGUAAUUCCAGCUCCAAUAGCGUAUAUUAAAGUUGUUGCAGUUAAAAAGCUCGUAGUUGAAUUUCGGGGUUCUACCGUUGGUCGGGCAAUAGUCUGUACUGGCGUGUGGAAUUUCUACCUUCUGGGGAACCAUCAUGUUAUUAAUUUAGCGUGGUGGGAAACCAGGACCUUUACCUUGAAAAAUUAGAGUGUUCAAAGCAGGCUUACGUCUGAAUACAUUAGCAUGGAAUAAUAAAAUAGGACGGUGGUCCUGUUUUGUUGGUUUCUGAAUCACCGUAAUGAUUAAUAGGGAUAGUUGGGGGCAUUAGUAUUCAAUUGUCAGAGGUGAAAUUCUUGGAUUUAUUGAAGGCUAACUUCUGCGAAAGCAUUUGCCAAGGAUGUUUUCAUUAAUCAAGAACGAAAGUUAGGGGAUCGAAGACGAUCAGAUA
rnacentral:rRNA from 1 species